UACGAAGGGGGCUAGCGUUGUUCGGAAUCACUGGGCGUAAAGGGCGCGUAGGCGGCCUGAUCAGUCGGGGGUGAAAGCCUGUGGCUCAACCACAGAAUUGCCUUCGAUACUGUCGGGCUUGAGACCGGAAGAGGUAAGUGGAACUGCGAGUGUAGAGGUGAAAUUCGUAGAUAUUCGCAAGAACACCAGUGGCGAAGGCGGCUUACUGGUCCGGUUCUGACGCUGAGGCGCGAAAGCGUGGGGAGCAAACAGGAUUAGAUACCCCCGUAGUCC
rnacentral:rRNA from 1 species